GCAGGCAACCAAAUAGCCCCUAAGAUUUCCUUUCUAUAUAUGGAAUUGAAAAUCAGACCUGGACACUUAAAACACCUAAGGCUGUGCGAAACUUUGUCGGCUUCCAAGGGAUAUGAAAUAUAUGGCAAGCCUGCGACACCUCUAUACUGAGGGAUGUCGUUCAUUGAAGGGCAUGCCUCCAGACCUUGGAAACUCAGUUAUCUGCAGACUCUGCAGACUCUGAGGGCCUAAACUGAAGGACCCUAAAUCCUGGAAGUAUGCUAUUCCUGGAUGUCGGCCUAAACAGGUUUGUCACGUUAAACUAUGCAGCUUGUACCCAUUGAUUGGUUCAAGAUGUCGAUAGAAAUAGUCUGACCAGCGUGACGUUACAGACCUUUUGGAUUCCAAGAUCUCAGUGGCCAAUCCUAAAGCCAAGUGAAGAGAGGGCUCAUCUCCUUUUCUUCUUCUUCCUCCCCUUCUUUUCUUCUUCCUCCCCUCUUGUUCAUUCUUUGUUCCCAAAAAUAAGGGAGAGAUUAGGGGGUAUUCAUUAAUUUUGAGGAGAUAGGGGGGCUUGAUCCCCUGCAAGAUCUGACGAACUGAAGAAGCAGCUCGAAAACCAUUAUCUACCGAGAAGCAUGUCCCAAGUUUCAGUGUUUCACAGCGGUGAAGGUCAAUCUGAACACACGUAUGUGUGCUACCCACUAGAUGAAGCAGGAGCACUGCGGCAUGCGCACGAGCAUAUACCAGGACGGCCAACAGCUUUCUAGCAUGGAGACGACGACGGGCAGGCGCAGGGCAAAGGCAGGCAACAUUGGCGGCCAUCGCUGGUGAAGUGGUGAGGCAGAGGACUCUGUCGUGAUCUCUGCGAACCGUGACGAACAAACUGCAAGAAUUUUUCGUUUCAAAUAAAUAAUUUGGCCAGUCCACCUGUCUGUUUGGAACGGAAAAUUUUUUGCAAGAAUUCUACGAUCCUUACAAAAAAAACUGGCAAAGUUUCUUGCAUUAUAAGUGAAACUUUGCAGUUCUAGUUUCAGUUUUACCAGUUUUAUAUGUGAGUCCUAAAAAAACAGUUGUGCCCAGGAAAAAAGAUGUAGGCCAGUCUACCAAUUUUACCA